GGGCCCGUAGCCGAGUGGAUAAGGCGCCGGCCUCCGGAGCCGGAGAGCGGGGGUUCGAGUCCCUCCGGGCCCG
rfam:Candidatus Bathyarchaeota archaeon B23 scaffold10827, whole genome shotgun sequence.